rnacentral:rRNA from 1 species
ACUGCUCAGUAACACGUGGACAACCUGCCCUUAGGUUGGGUAUAAACCCGGGAAACUGGGUAUAAUACCCGAUAGGUCUCGAUUGCUGGAAUGCAUCGAGAUUUAAAGCUCCGGCGCCUAAGGAUGGGUCUGCGGCCUAUCAGGUAGUAGUGGGUGUAGCGUACCUACUAGCCUACGACGGGUACGGGUUGUGAGAGCAAGAGCCCGGAGAUGGAUUCUGAGACACGAAUCCAGGCCCUACGGGGUGCAGCAGGCCCGAAAACUUUACAAUGCUGGCAACAGCGAUAAGGGAACCUCGAGUGCCAGGUUACAAAUCUGGCUGUCGAGAUGCCUAAAAAGCAUUUCAUAGCAAGGGCCGGGCAAGACCGGUGCCAGCCGCCGCGGUAACACCGGCGGCUCGAGUGGUAACCGUUAUUAUUGGGUCUAAAGGGUCUGUAGCCGGCCGGAUAAGUCUCUUGAGAAAUCUGGCAGCUUAACUGUCAGGCUUUCAGGAGAUACUGUCUGGCUCGAGGCCGGGAGAGGUGAGAGGUACUUCAGGGGUAGGGGUGAAAUCUUGUAAUCCUUGAAGGACCACCAGUGGCGAAGGCGUCUCACCAGAACGGACCUGACGGCAAGGGACGAAAGCUAGGGGCACGAACCGGAUUAGAUACCCGGGUAGUCCUAGCCGUAAACGAUACUCGCUAGGUGUCGGCCACGGUGCGACCGUUGUCGGUGCCGUAGGGAAGCCGUGAAGCGAGCCACCUGGGAAGUACGGCCGCAAGGCUGAAACUUAAAGGAAUUGGCGGGGGAGCAC